GUAAAUAGUGCUGAUCUUGCUGCCUUGCUGAGAGAGAUAAGCUCUUAUUGUCCUUUUUAUCCAGAAAGUGGGACACUAAAUUUGAAGACUGGGAGAAAAUAGGUGAGACACACGAACUUCUAUUCCUGUGUACAGAUGCAAUUGAGAAACCCUCUAUUUAUCAACCUGCCUGCUCUUCUCCUUCUGUGUCUGGCUAUUUGGCCCCUUUAAGUCCCCUCUGCUCCCCCUGAAGUGGCGGCACAACGCUGGCCACUAUACUCUGCCCAGAGCCCUCCACGCAUGACUCCUCUAACUCACUGCCAUUGCCUCCGUGGCCAGCUGUGGAAGCCGCCCCGCCCCCAACUAGAUCCCAGUUAACUGAAUGUUGGGACAAGCUGUGGAGGAGGAGGGAGUCUCAUAACUUACCUGUCUGUCCUAUUAAGAUAAAUUCUGCUAACCAACCAAAAUAUGAACAGUUACCUUUUGCUGUAUUGAAAGAGUUACAACCUUUAAAUGAAAGGAAGAUACAAGGUUUGACUCUACUGUCAUUGAAACAUGUUUAUUAGUUACUGUAAAUAAGCCUAAAUUAGCUCUUUGUUUAAAUGAGCAGUCAAUUACAGGGUUAUUGGACACAAAUACUAAUGUCAUGGUGAUAAAUAC
rnacentral:lncRNA from 1 species